ACUCCUACGGGAGGCAGCAGUGGGGAAUAUUGCACAAUGGGGGAAACCCUGAUGCAGCAACGCCGCGUGGAGGAAGAAGGUUUUCGGAUUGUAAACUCCUGUCUUUUGGGACGAUAAUGACGGUACCAAAAGAGGAAGCCACGGCUAACUACGUGCCAGCAGCCGCGGUAAU
rnacentral:rRNA from 1 species